rnacentral:rRNA from 1 species
UACGAAGGGGGCUAGCGUUGUUCGGAAUUACUGGGCGUAAAGCGCACGUAGGCGGACUAUUAAGUCAGGGGUGAAAUCCCGGGGCUCAACCCCGGAACUGCCUUUGAUACUGGUAGUCUCGAAUCCGGAAGAGGUGAGUGGAAUUCCGAGUGUAGAGGUGAAAUUCGUAGAUAUUCGGAGGAACACCAGUGGCGAAGGCGGCUCACUGGUCCGGUACUGACGCUGAGGUGCGAAAGCGUGGGGAGCAAACAGG